rnacentral:misc_RNA from 1 species
UCCGAGUUGACCCCGGCAGUCUCCUAUGAGUCCCCACCAUAACGUGCUGGCAACAUAGGACGAGGGUUGCGCUCGUUGCGGGACUUAACCCAACAUCUCACGACACGAGCUGACGACAGCCAUGCACCACCUGUGAACCUGCCCAAAGGGAAGCCGUGUUUCCACGGCGGUCAGGCACAUGUCAAACCCAGGUAAGGUUCUUCGCGUUUCGUCGAAUUAAACCACAUGCUCCGCUGCUUGUGCGGGUCCCCGUCAAUUCCUUUGAGUUUUAGCCUUGCGGCCGUACUCCCCAGGCGGGGCACUUAAUGCGUUAGCUCCGGCACGGGAGGAGUCGACACCUCCCACACCUAGUGCCCAUCGUUUACGGCGUGGACUAC